GCUGCUGUAGCUCAACGGGACAUCACCCUUCGCAUGUGAUUCUGGAGUAAGACACUGUGGGGCGGCGUGGGUUCGACUCCCACCAGCGGCA